AGGUAUGGGAUCACUGCUCUCACAUCCUCACACACAUCUAUGACGGACAUCCAUUCUGCAUGUGAGGCUCGACUGACGGAGGUACAGAGACAGACUGUCGAGGAUCGACAGCAGGCUGUCGAGGAUCGACAGUGAGCUCAAGAGUUGCCUGCACGCGUCGACAACUAUCAGUACUUUCAGAUCUAGAUAAUCGAGCGGAUGGCACAGAUGGAGCAAACAAUACAACUGAUGAGGCAGCAGUAGGUCGA
rnacentral:lncRNA from 1 species